AGUUAUCCCCGUUGCACGUGUGUUUCUUGUGCGAGAGAUGCAGAAGCGAGAGCUAGGUAAGCAAGGCGGAGGGUCGGGUGGCUCCGGCACUCCGGCGGCGAAGAGAGGCCGCCCUUUCGGAAGCACUAAUAGCAACUUAGCUGCAGCUGCGGCAGCCGACGCGGCAGCUCCAUCGACACUCCUUGGCCCAUCGCUCCAAGUUCACUCCUCUUUCGCUGAUCAAAACAAUAAAAGGAUUGUUCUUGCUCUUCAAAGUGGAUUAAAAAGCGAGCUGACAUGGGCACUAAAUACACUAACUUUACUUUCAUUCAAAGAGAAAGAUGAAGUGAGAAAAGAUGCAACUCCAUUAGCAAAAAUCCCUGGAUUACUCGAUGCUCUUCUCCAAGUUAUCGAUGAUUGGCGUGACAUCACUCUCCCAAAAGAGCUCAUAAAGACACCAAGAACAAGGUCUCUAGGUGUUAACUCCAUUGUUACUGGAUUUGGAAACGAGUUCAAAGCUUUAGGCUCAAAUGAUGUGAACAUAGGGUCUGUUUCAGAGGCAUCCAUGCAGAAAAAAGCAACAAAGUCUCAACCUGCAGAAUGGUGGCUUUCUGAAGAUGGAUUAUUUAAUUUGGAUGAUGAAGGGCGUGCAGAAAAGCAACAAUGUGCAGUUGCUGCUUCAAAUAUUCUCAGAAAUUUCUCUUUUAUGCCAGAAAAUGAAGUCAUCAUGGGUCAACAUCGCCAUUGUUUGGAAACAAUCUUUCAGUGCAUUGAAGACCAUGUUACAGAGGAUGAAGAACUUGUAACAAAUUGUCUAGAGACAAUUGUGAAUUUGGCUCCAUUGAUUGACCUUAGAAUCUUUAGCUCAUCAAAGCCUUCUUACAUUAAAAUAACAGAAAAAAGAGCAGUUCAAGCGAUUAUGGGAAUAUUGGGAUCUUCUGUAAAAGCUUGGCAUUGUGCAGCUGCAGAGUUACUUGGGCGUGUGAUAAUAAACCCUGAUAAUGAACCUUUUCUUCUUCCUUCUGCUCCACAGAUUUACAAACGAUUGGUUGAUCUUUUAAGCCUGCCAGCUGUAGAUGCACAAGCUGCUGCAGUGGGGGCACUUUAUAAUCUUGCAGAAGUCAAUAUGGACUGCAGACUCAAGCUUGCUAGUGAAAGAUGGGCAGUUGACCGAUUGCUAAAAGUGAUCAGAGCACCACAUCCAGUGCCAGAAGUGUGUAGAAAAGCAGCAAUGAUUCUAGAAAGCCUUGUUUCAGAGCCACAAAAUCGACCUUUGCUUUUAGCCUAUGAAAAUGCUUUUGCAGAAAUAUUAUUUUCUGAUGGAAAAUAUUCCGAUACUUUUGCAAGAAUUUUAUUUGAAUUAACUUCUAAGCCCAACAGCAAACUCACAACUGCUCGUGGUAUUUGGGGCAUGUAGCCCCCGUUUUUCGCGAAAAUUAAGGGACCAUUUGUGCAACAAAAGCGAAUAUUUGGACUAAAUCCAUGUGGGAAGCUAUGAGUAAAUGUUGUGAAUCAGUUCUUAAGGUACUUCAAAUGACCGUGGCAAGGCAAAGGUGUGAUCGUGCACAUCCUUUGGUUUUUAUGUUGUUUGGAUUUUGGGAUACUCUGAUUACUAAAAUACACUUUUGAAACAAUGGUUUUUUUUUUUAACAUUUAUGGUUAUGAGCUGUUUUUGACAAGUUAAAAGUUAUUGUGAUUUUGGGAUGUUACAAGUUGGUAUCAGAGCCUUGGUUUGAGAGAAUUGGAUGAACAUUUGUAACGUCCCAAAAUUUAAGACUAAAAAUUUCUUUUAAUAAAACAUUACUUUAAGCAAAUUCAUCAUUUCAAAACAUAAGCAGAGUAUUAGUUUCCAAAAUACAUGUUCGUUAUCAGAGUAAACAUUCCCAUGCUAUCUAAUCUAUGGUGUGUGCCAUGCGAUCACCCCGAGCUUUUCCCUCCGCUACUGGAAGUACCUGAAACCAAAACUGAAAACCGUAAGCACGAAGCUUAAUGAGUUACCCACCCUACCACAUACCAUGCAUAACCACAUACUGCACAUACUGGGCCACGCCUGCUAUCUUGGGCCUCGCCCCUACCUCGGGCCUCGCUCGCUACAACGGCCCCGCCGCUCCAGGCCCUGCCUGGCUUUGAGCCCCGCUCGAAUACAUAUCUGUUUCACUUAGGCCUCGCCUGUCACAGGGCCUCGCCCACUAAAAUAUAAUAGCACAUAAACAUAUCCCAUCACAUCACAUAAUCUAAACACAUACUAACGGAUCUUGUCCUAAGGCCUCGCCUAUCUCUGGGCCCCGCCCUUGUCCUGCUACUGAUGAGUCAUGGAACCCCGUCCAUACUCCUGCUGAUAGUGAGGUACGGGCCCAACCCACCCUCACUCCUUCCCUAACUUGGGCCUCGCCCCUGCUCUGCUGCUACCGAGAUGUGGAACACCAUCCACACUCUGCUAUUGGUGAGAUACGGGACCUCGCCCACACUCACCUCCCUACCAGGCACAUACAAGUAUCACACAGACAACAAGCAUAAACUGUCACAUAAACCAUUCCUUGGGCACCCGCCCUCUAUCAUUGGACCUCGUCCCGAAUAUCAUACUAGCAUACUGUGCCUAGGGCUAACCCCCGGGUCUUCUACUCAUAACUACAUGGGCCGACAUUGUGGCCGUAGACCCAUUCAUACAAAGGGAAACUCACCUGCACUGGCUGAACUAGCUGAUGAACCCACUAGCUGUUGCCCGGAAACUCUCUGAACUCCUGCUCCACUCGCUCCUCGAGCUACCAAUAUCAAUGCAACACUGAGUCUAACCGACCCCCGAAAGACAACCAAG